rnacentral:lncRNA from 1 species
UGUGUGUGUAUAAAACAAAAAGAUGAGCUCUCCUUUUAUAGUUACGUAAUCACUCUAUGAAAUUAAUGAAAAAUUAUGGAUCAUGAUUCCUUGUGAGAUAGUGAGAGUUAUAGGGAAGCUAAAUGUUACUAAUGAGAGAUAGUUGGGAGACUAAGAGAUAUAUGUUAUGAACAUCUAGUCAUCUACAUUUAUUUUAAUAAAUUCAUAACACUCCCAUUUGGAUGUUCAUUACAAAGAAUAUG